GCCGUGGCGUUUGGGAUCUUGGGAUUGUUCGUGCUUCUCUGUUUGGUGCAGAUCUGCAUCAAGAAAAUCAAAUGUUGCAACCGCAAAAAUCCUUCGGUGAAAGACAAAAUUUUAACGAAAGUUGGGAUUAAGAAAUCUUCACCUCCAUUUUCAAUCAGCAGAAUUGUUGACAAGAAAUAACGGCCGUCACUGCUCCUACGUCAUUCUCACUGCCUAUAAAUAGUGUACAUACACCCUGACAGAAUCUAAUUUAGUCCAUGUUUUCAUUAUUUACAACGCUUGUAACUGUAAUUAUUUCCAUAUUAUUAUGAAAUCUGUCAAUUUAUUUAUUGUUCUUUAUUUCUGUGAAAAGUGUGAUUCACAUUUCUGAGGUGAAGGUGUUAGUGAUGCGGUUGUUGAUGAUUCAUAUAUGGUAAAAAAAUAAUUUUCCCACUGCUAGGGAAAAACAGCACACCUUUAUUGCUUUUUGCGAUCGCUUCUCUUGUUGUUUUUCUCAUUUUCUGACAUUCUCUGAAUUUUGUCACCGUACCAGUCUCACCACAAAAACAUGGCGAUGCCUUCUUCUCAAGCCAAACUGUUUCCACAUAAAAUGACAUCAAAGGUCAUCGUAUACCCUGAUGAAAUAUUAAUCUCUUCAGUCGUAGUAGAAAGAUCACAACAUCGUAAGAACAUUGUGAUUUACAAGGAAGUCCUCUCGGGUGAUAUAUUUCCUGUUAAGCAAUAUUAUGUGUGUGAUGAAAUAUGGAUCUUGACUCACAUAUCACAAUUUCUAAUUUCAAAGGAAAAUAUGGUCAUAUUUGAUCAUUUUUGGUCAGAUUUAUUAGUCUAGUAUAUUAUCCUCUAUGUGUAUGUGUGUGUGUGUGUGUUGAUCUUCAAACUUUUUUUGUUAUUUUUCAAUUCAACUU